UAAUUAAAUAUUUAUUAAUAUUUAAAAUUAAAUUUUUUUUAUAAGAAAUAUAUUUUAUUUUAUUAUUUAUUAGAAAAAAUUAAUUAUUAUGAUAGUUUAAAGUAUUGUGAAAGAAAAUUUUUUUUUAAAAAAAGAAAAAUUUAUUUUUUGUACCUUGUGCAUCAGGGUUUAUUAAAAUUGAUUAAUUAUUUAAUAAUCUCGAAUUUAAUAGAGCUAAAAAUUUAUUAUUUAUAUUGUAGAAUAAAUAUAUUAAAUAAAUUUUUUGUAAUGAAAUGUUAUUCGUUUUUAAAUAUAUCUAGUUUUUUAAGAAAAAAAUUUAAUUUUAUUAUAAAAAAUAUGAAUUUAAUUUAUUAAUUUAUUAUUAUUUAUAGUGAAUAUUUUUAGGGAUGAGCUUAAAAGUAAAUUUUUAUUUAAAAAUAAAAUUUAUUAAAUAAUUUAGGAUUAUAAAUUUUCAUUAUUUUUAGUAUGUUAUAAUUAAAUUUAAAUUUUUAAUAUUUUUAUUUUUUAUAAAUUUUUUAUUAAAAUAUAAUUUUUAAUAAAAUAAAAUUAGUAAUAAUGAUAAAAUUAGUAUAAAUUAUUGGAUUAAAUAUUUUUUUAAUUUAGGUUAGUAUAAGGAAUUCGGCAAAUAAAUUUUUCACCUGUUUAUUAAAAACAUGUCCUUUUGUUAAAAAUUUAAGGUCUAGCCUGCCCAAUGAUAAAUUCAAUGGCCGCGGUAUUUUGACCGUGCUAAGGUAGCAUAAUCAUUAGUUUUUUAAUUGAAAGCUGGAAUGAAGGGUUGGAUGAAAAAAUUGCUGUCUCAUAUUUAAUUAAUUAGAAUUUUAUUUUUAAGUUAAAAAGCUUAAAUUUUUUUAAAAGACGAGAAGACCCUAUAGAGUUUUAUAAUAUUUUUAUAUUUUAAAUUUGGCAAUAAAAUUUUUAUUUUAAAAAUAUUAUUUAGUUGGGGUGAUUAAAAAAUUUAAUAAACUUUUUUUUUAUUUAAAUAUUAAUUAAUAAAUAAAUGAUCCUAAUUUUUAGAUUAUAAGAAAAAAUUACCUUAGGGAUAACAGCGUAAUUUUAUUUGAGAGUUCAAAUCGAAAAUAGAGAUUGCGACCUCGAUGUUGGAUUAAAGUUUAUAUUUGGUGUAGAAGCUAAAUUAUUAAGUCUGUUCGACUUUUAAAACUUUACAUGAUCUGAGUUUAAACCGGUGUAAGCCAGGUUGGUUUCUAUCUUUAAAUAGUUAAUAUAUUUUAGUACGAAAGGACCAAAUAUAUAGUAAAAUAUUUAAUAUUAAUUAAAAUGG
rnacentral:rRNA from 1 species